GACGGAGCAAACAGCCAGGGUCUGCUGGACUUUUCGAGCUGGUGAAAAAUCUCAAGUAUUAAGAGGAAACAACAUCUCCAGUCAAGAUGCUACAAAAAGUUCAUCAUAUUUGAGAAGAACUGAGGUGAUAAUCUGGAUUUUUAGUAUCCUGCAGUGCCAAUGUCGGUGUGUUACCUGCAGUCACCACCAGGGUGCAGACGUGAGUCGGCAGCUCGUUCAGUCCGACGUGACGUGAACGCAGCGCUCGUCUCCUCCAGCGAUCAGCUGAGCAUGACAGCCACCGACCCAGACGGUGUAAAUACAGCCAAAACACAGCCAA